rnacentral:rRNA from 1 species
GUAACACGUAUGCAACCUACCCUUUACUGGGGCAUAGCUCAGAGAAAUCUGAAUUAAUUCCCCAUAAUACAAUUGAAUGGCAUCAUAUGAUUAUUAAAGUUGAGGCGGUAAAGGAUGGGCAUGCGUUGCAUUAGCUAGUUGGUGAGGUAAUGGCUCACCAAGGCUACGAUGCAUAGGGGUUCUGAGAGGAUGAUCCCCCACACUGGUACUGAGACACGGACCAGACUCCUACGGGAGGCAGCAGUAGGGAAUAUUGGUCAAUGGACGCAAGUCUGAACCAGCCAUGCCGCGUGCAGGAAGACGGCCCUCUGGGUUGUAAACUGCUUUUAUAUGGGAAGAAUCCUCAUUAUGCGUAAUGAACUGACGGUACCAUAUGAAUAAGGAUCGGCUAACUUCGUGCCAGCAGCCGCGGUAAGACGAAGGAUCCAAGCGUUGUCCGGAUUUACUGGGUUUAAAGGGUGCGUAGGCGGAAUUUUAAGUCAGUGGUGAAAGCCCUUCGCUCAACGAAGGAACUGCCAUUGAAACUGAAAUUCUUGAAUACGGUCGAGGUAGAUGGAAUAUAACAUGUAGCGGUGAAAUGCUUAGAUAUGUUAUAGAACACCGAUUGCGAAGGCAGUCUACUAAGCCGUGAUUGACGCUGAGGCA